rnacentral:rRNA from 1 species
CAAACUGGAGAUGGCGACCGGCGCACGGGUGAGUAACACGUAUCCAACCUGCCGAUGACUCGGGGAUAGCCUUUCGAAAGAAAGAUUAAUACCCGAUGGCAUAGUUCUUCCGCAUGGUGGAACUAUUAAAGAAUUUCGGUCAUCGAUGGGGAUGCGUUCCAUUAGGUUGUUGGCGGGGUAACGGCCCACCAAGCCUUCGAUGGAUAGGGGUUCUGAGAGGAAGGUCCCCCACAUUGGAACUGAGACACGGUCCAAACUCCUACGGGAGGCAGCAUG